rnacentral:tRNA from 1 species
ACCGCAGAAUUGCGGUAGUAAACAGCGGAAUCAUAAUCCGCGUGUCGGGGGUUCAAGUCCCUCCUCCGCUACCA